GUGGCUUAGUCGGUAGAGCAUGGCACUCCCAAUGCCAGGGUUGUGGGUUCAAUUCCCACGGGGGAUCA